AUCGCUUCUCGGCCUAUUGGCUCAGACCAAGUGUAGUUCCUGUUCUUAUCAGCUUUAAUAUCUGAUAUGUCCUUUACUUAAGGACCGUAUAUUAAACUGAUUUUUGGAGCAGGGAGUUGGAAUAGGAGCUUGCUUCAUCCACUCCAUGCAUCGUCCUGGUAUUGCAGUGUUUCCAGGAAUGGUGCAGUCUCA